AUUGAACGCUGGCGGCAGGCCUAACACAUGCAAGUAGAGCGGAACGGCGGACGGGUGAGUAAUGCAUAGGCAUCUGCAUGGUAGUGGGGGAUAACGUCCGGAAACGGGCGCUAAUACCCCAUACUCUCAGCUUAGCAUAUGUCGGAUUAGCUAGUUGGUGGGGUAACGGCCUACCAAGACGAAGAUCAGUAACUGGUCUGAGGGGCUGAGCAGUCACACUGGAACUGAGACACGGUCCAGCCUCCUACGGGAGGCAGCAGUGGGGAAUAUUGGACAAUGGGCGACAGCCUGAUCCAGCCAUGCCGCGGGUGUGAAGAAGGUCUUCGGAUUGUAAAGCACUUUAAGUUGGGAGGCGUUACCCACAGAAUAAGCACCGGCUAACUUCGUGCCAGCAGCCGCGGUAAUUC
rnacentral:rRNA from 1 species